CUGCCCAUGAUGAUACCUUAUUUCAAUAUACCAUCUUUCGGGACUGAUUGGUGUAUUUAGCCAGGAUGAUAUUUUGCAAUCUGAGGCAC